UACGGAGGGUGCAAGCGUUAUCCGGAUUUACUGGGUUUAAAGGGUGUGUAGGCGGACUUUUAAGUCAGGGGUGAAAUCCCGAGGCUCAACCUCGGAACUGCCUUUGAUACUAUUGGUCUUGAAUGUUGUUGAGGUGGGCGGAACGGGUCAUGUAGCGGUGAAAUGCAUAGAUAUGACCCGGAACACCGAUUGCGAAGGCAGCCCGCUAAGCAACUAUUGACGCUGAGGCACGAAAGCGUGGGGAUCAAACAGGA
rnacentral:rRNA from 1 species